rnacentral:rRNA from 1 species
GAUGAACGCUAGCGGCAGGCUUAAUACAUGCAAGUCGAGGGGCAUCAAGGUACACGAAAGUGUAUUGUUGGCGACCGGCGGACGGGUGAGUAAUAGGUAGGUAACCUACCUCAUACUGAGGCAUAGCUGGGAGAAAUUCCAGGUAAUUCCUCAUGAGGUUAUAUGACACAUGUGAUAUAAUCAAAGGUAUCGCAAGGUACUGGUAUGAGAUGGGCUUACUGACCAUUAGCUAGUUGGUGAGAUAAGAGCUCACCAAGGCGAAGAUGGUUAGGGGUUUUGAGAGAGAGAUCCCCCACAUUGGAACUGAGAUACGGUCCAGGACUCCUACGGGAGGCAGCAGUAGGGAAUAUUGGGCAAUGGGCGAAGCCUGACCCAGCCAUGCCGCGUGAAGGAAGACGGCCUUAUGGGUUGUAAACUUCUUUACUAUGCGACUAACUAGAUUACGAGAUAAUUCUAUAGAAUGUAGCAUAGCAAAAAGCACGGUACC